AAUAGAUACCCGGGUAGUCCCAGCCGUAAACGAUGCUCGCUAGGUGUCAGGCAUGGCGCGACCGUGUCUGGUGCCGCAGGGAAGCCGUGAAGCGAGCCACCUGGGAAGUACGGCCGCAAGGCUGAAACUUAAAGGAAUUGGCGGGGGAGCACAACAACGGGUGGAGCCUGCGGUUUAAUUGGACUCAACGCCGGACAACUCACCGGGGACGACAGCAAUAUGUAGGCCAGGCUAAAGACCUUGCCUGAAUCGCUGAGAGGAGGUGCAUGGCCGUCGCCAGUUCGUACUGUGAAGCAUCCUGUUAAGUCAGGCAACGAGCGAGACCCGUGCCCACUGUUACCAGCAUGUCCUCCGGGACGAUGGGUACUCUGUGGGGACCGCCGAUGUUAAAUCGGAGGAAGGUGCGGGCUACGGUAGGUCAGUAUGCCCCGAAUUUCCCGGGCUACACGCGGGCUACAAUGAAUGGGACAAUGGGUCCCUACCCCGAGAGGGGUUGGUAAUCCCCGAAACCCAUCCGUAGUUCGGAUCGAGGGCUGUAACUCGCCCU
rnacentral:rRNA from 1 species